CGUUUUUUGCCAUCAACAGUCUUACUUUUACACACUCAGGCUGGUGAGCAUUGAUCCAGGGAUAAUGGAGUUAUCACUAAUGGCAGCUCAGAUGCAUUCAGCCUCAGUCAGAGUGUAGGACAGGACAGACUGAAACAUCAGAACUGACCUCUUUCUUCACAUACAGUCGGCACAUUACCCGGCUGUGAGUGGGGCCUUCAUGGAUUCACCGUACAAUGGCAACACGUCCCUGCAGACGUCCACCUCCAACCUUAAUGCCGGCUACUCUCGACCUUCAG